UACGUAGGCAGCGAGCGUUGUUCGGAGUUACUGGGCGUAAAGAGUGCGUAGGCGGUUUUCUAAGUUUGGUGUGAAAUCUCCCGGCUUAACUGGGAGGGUGCGCCGAAGACUGGAAGGCUUGAGUAUGGGAGAGGUAAGCGGAAUUCCUGGUGUAGCGGUGAAAUGCGCAGAUAUCAGGAGGAACACCGGUGGCGAAGGCGGAUCUCUGGGCCUUACCUGACGCUGAGGCGCGAAAGCUAGGGGAGCGAACAGG
rnacentral:rRNA from 1 species